GAUGAAGAACGUAGCGAAAUGCGAUAAGUAAUGUGAAUUGCAGAAUUCAGUGAAUCAUCGAAUCUUUGAACGCACCUUGCACCCUUUGGCAUUCCGAAGGGUAUGCUCGUUUGAGUGUCAUUGUACUCUCACACUUCCAAUCUUUGGAUUGGGGGCGGUGGACUUGGGUGUUGCUGCUUACUGUGGCUCACCUCAAAUUGAUUCGUGCACCUCUUGGUUGGACAUAGUACGGCGUGAUAAGUGUCUUCGCCGGCACCUCAGUAGAGGGUGGCUGAUCGGGAGCUCUGUGCUUCAGACCGUCCUCGGACAACAACUGACAACUUGACCUCAAAUCGAGUAGGACUACCCGCUGAACUUAAGCAUAUCAAUAAGCGGAGGA
rnacentral:misc_RNA from 1 species